rnacentral:rRNA from 1 species
AGAGUUUGAUCCUGGCUCAGAACGAACGCUGGCGGCGUGCUUAACACAUGCAAGUCGAACGUGAUCCGGAGCUUGCUCCGGUGAAAGUGGCGCACGGGUGAGUAACGCGUGGAUAAUCUGCCCUGGUAUCUGGGAUAACAUCUCGAAAGGGGUGCUAAUACCGGAUAAGCCUACGGACUCUUCGGAGUCUGCAGGAAAAGGUGGCCUCUAUUUAUAAGCUACCGUAUCAGGAUGAGUCCGCGUACCAUUAGCUAGUUGGUGGGGUAAUGGCCCACCAAGGCUACGAUGGUUAGCUGGUCCGAGAGGAUGAUCAGCCACACUGGAACUGAGACACGGUCCAGACUCCUACGGGAGGCAGCAGUGGGGAAUUUUGCGCAAUGGGGGAAACCCUGACGCAGCAACGCCGCGUGAGUGAUGAAGGCUUUCGGGUCGUAAAGCUCUGUCAGAGGGGAAGAAAUGAGACUGGCUAAUAUCCAGUUUUCUUGACGGUACCCUCAAAGGAAGCACCGGCUAACUCCGUGCCAGCAGCCGCGGUAA